GACGAACGCUGGCGGCGUGCUUAACACAUGCAAGUCGAACGAUGAAGCCUUCGGGUGGAUUAGUGGCGAACGGGUGAGUAACACGUGGGUGAUCUGCCCUGCACUUUGGGAUAAGCCUGGGAAACUGGGUCUAAUACCGAAUAUGAUCAUGCUCUUCAUGGGGUGUGGUGGAAAGCUUUUGCGGUGUGGGAUGGGCCCGCGUCCUAUCAGCUUGUUGGUGGGGUAAUGGCCUACCAAGGCGACGACGGGUAGCCGGCCUGAGAGGGUGACCGGCCACACUGGGACUGAGAUACGGCCCAGACUCCUACGGGAGGCAGCAGUGGGGAAUAUUGCACAAUGGGCGCAAGCCUGAUGCAGCGACGCCGCGUGAGGGAUGACGGCCUUCGGGUUGUAAACCUCUUUCAGCAGGGACGAAGCGAAAGUGACGGUACCUGCAGAAGAAGGACCGGCCAACUACGUGCCAGCCGCCGCGGUAACAC
rnacentral:rRNA from 1 species